GUUUGAUCCUGGCUCAGGACGAACGCUGGCGGCGUGCUUAACACAUGCAAGUCGAACGAUGAAGCUCCAGCUUGCUGGGGCGGAAGAGUGGCGAACGGGUGAGUAACACGUGAGUAACCUGCCCAUCACUCUGGGAUAAGCGCUGGAAACGGCGUCUAAUACUGGAUAUGCACAGUGGCCGCAUGGUCUGCUGUGGGAAAGAUUUAUCGGUGGUGGAUGGACUCGCGGCCUAUCAGCUUGUUGGUGAGGUAAUGGCUCACCAAGGCGACGACGGGUAGCCGGCCUGAGAGGGUGAUCGGCCACACUGGGACUGAGACACGGCCCAGACUCCUACGGGAGGCAGCAGUGGGGAAUAUUGCACAAUGGGCGAAAGCCUGAUGCAGCAACGCCGCGUGAGGGAUGACGGCCUUCGGGUUGUAAACCUCUUUUAGUAGGGAAGAAGCGCAAGUGACGGUACCUGCAGAAAAAGCACCGGCUAACUACGUGCCAGCAGCCGCGGUAAUACGUAGGGUGCAAGCGUUGUCCGGAAAUUAUUGNGCGUAAAGAGCUCGUAGGCGGCUUGUCGCGUCUGCUGUGAAAACCCGAGGCUCAACCUCGGGCUUGCAGUGGGUACGGGCAGGCUAGAGUGCGGUAGGGGAGAUUGGAAUUCCUGGUGUAGCGGUGGAAUGCGCAGAUAUCAGGAGGAACACCAAUGGCGAAGGCAGAUCUCUGGGCCGCUACUGACGCUGAGGAGCGAAAGCAUGGGGAGCGAACAGGAUUAGAUACCCUGGUAGUCCAUGCCGUAAACGUUGGGAACUAGAUGUAGGGCCUGUUCCACGGGUUCUGUGUCGUAGCUAACGCAUUAAGUUCCCCGCCUGGGGAGUACGGCCGCAAGGCUAAAACUCAAAGGAAUUGACGGGGGCCCGCACAAGCGGCGGAGCAUGCGGAUUAAUUCGAUGCAACGCGAAGAACCUUACCAAGGCUUGACAUAUAGAAGAACGGGCGAGAGAUCGUCAACUCUUUGGACACUUCUAUACAGGUGGUGCAUGGUUGUCGUCAGCUCGUGUCGUGAGAUGUUGGGUUAAGUCCCGCAACGAGCGCAACCCUUGAUCUUAGUUGCCAGCAUUCAGUUGGGCACUCUAAGGUGACUGCCGGUGACAAACCGGAGGAAGGUGGGGAUGACGUCAAAUCNUUCAUGCCCCUUAUGACCUGGGCUACACACGUGCUACAAUGGACGGUACAAAGGGUUGCCAACCCGCGAGGGGGAGCCAAUCCCAGAAAACCGUUCUCAGUUCGGAUUGUAGGCUGCAACUCGCCUGCAUGAAGCCGGAAUCGCUNGUAAUCGUGGAUCAGCNUGCCGCGGUGAAUACGUUCCCNNNCCUUGUACACACCGCCNGUCACACCAUGGGAGUUGGUUCUACCCGAAGGCGAUGCGCUAACCGCAAGNAGGCAGUCGACCACGGUAGGGUCAGCGACUGGGGUGAAGUCGUAACAAGGUAACC
rnacentral:rRNA from 1 species